rnacentral:rRNA from 1 species
AUUGAACGCUGGCGGCAUGCUUUACACAUGCAAGUCGAACGGUAACAGGCCGCAAGGUGCUGACGAGUGGCGAACGGGUGAGUAAUGCAUCGGAACGUGCCCAGUCGUGGGGGAUAACGCAGCGAAAGCUGCGCUAAUACCGCAUACGAUCUCUGGAUGAAAGCGGGGGACCGAAAGGCCUCGCGCGAUUGGAGCGGCCGAUGCCAGAUUAGGUAGUUGGUGGGGUAAAGGACCACCAAGCCAACGAUCGGUAGCUGGUCUGAGAGGACGAGCAGCCACAGUGGGACUGAGACACGGCCCAGAAUCCUACGGGAGGCAGCAGUGGGAAAUUUUGGACAAUGGGCGCAAGCCUGAUCCGGCAAUGCCGCGUGCAGGAAGAAGGCCUUCGGGUUGUAAACUGCUUUUGUACGGAACGAAACGGUCCGGGUUAAUACCCUGGGCUAAUGACGGUACCGUAAGAAUAAGCACCGGCUAACUACGUGCCAGCCGCCGCCGUAACAC